rnacentral:pre_miRNA from 15 species
ACCAUGUGCCACGCUGGAUGUGCUCGUUAGUCAUAAUAUCCUCCACAAAGCAAGGACUAUGACUAGAGACACAUUCAGCUUGGCGCCGAAUGCA